rnacentral:misc_RNA from 1 species
AACAUCGCGCACCUGCGGGAACCUGCGGAAGGAUCAUUACCGAGUGCGGGUCCGCGUGGCCCAACCUCCCACCCGUGCCUAUUGUACCCUGUUGCUUCGGCGGGCCCGCCAGCCUUCGGGCUGGCCGCCGGGGGGCGUCUCGCCCCCGGGCCCGUGCCCGCCGGAGACCCCAACAUGAACCCUGUUCUGAAAGCUUGGUGUCUGAGUGUGAUUGUUUGCAAUCAGUUAAAACUUUCAACA